UAGCCAGCACCCCGAGUGGUCGGGACGUUUAUUGGGCCUAAAGCAUCCGUAGCCGGUUCUACAAGUCUUCCGUUAAAUCCAGCUGCUCAACAGAUGGGCUGCGGAAGAUACUAUGGAGCUAGGAGGCGGGAGAGGCAAGCGGUACUCGAUGGGUAGGGGUAAAAUCCGUUGAUCCAUUGAAGACCACCAGUGGCGAAGGCGGCUUGCCAGAACGCGCUCGACGGUGAGGGAUGAAAGCUGGGGGAGCAAACCGGG
rnacentral:rRNA from 1 species